rnacentral:lncRNA from 1 species
ACAUAUGUGAGUUGAAUUUAUUUAUGUAAAUCAUUGCAUAAUUUUAAUCAUAAACUUUUUAUAUGAUAACUUUUUCUCGAUAAAGUUAUCAUUGCAUAAUUGUUAUGGAAAGUAAAAACAUUUUAUAUUGUUUAUAUAGCUUAUUUACAAGGCUUGAUAUAUGAUAUCAUAUAACCAUAUAGUGCAUAUACAGCUACAUUAUGUAGUAGUAGGAUGGUGGUAGUAGUAGUAGUAAGGAAAGGGGAGCUUCAAAUAACCCUAGUAGUGCACCUAUUCAGUGAUCUAUUGUGCACCCCCAUAAAAGACCAUCUCAUAAAUCCUCGUUUUUAUACACACACAGGGCAGCAUCUACUUCAACUUGAUUGUAAAAAACUUCCAGUGCAAGAAAAUGCAAUAUUAGAUGAUAUCAAAGCACUGAAAAGGCUACACAGCCACACAAUGUGUAGAGAACUUUCAUCUCCUGCCUGACAUUAAAUUUACAGUUGGGACUAUCAACAUUCCUAAUUAACUAAUCUUAAUUAAAUAUUUACAUUGGAGAUUACAUGAUCCAAAUGACUAAACUAGCCAAAACUCCCCAGUGAUUAUGGGAAGUUGUGGCUAGUUUAGGGUUAUUCCUAAUUAAGUGGAGAUGUCUCCUAAGAUAAGUGUUACUUACAUGACACUGUCAUCAUAGGAUCCUUAUUUGAUUUUUAUGCAGUGGAAGCAACUCUUAGUUCUGACUUAAAAGCCUUUGCUUGCCUUAAUCAAGAUAUAUGCCAAUGAGACAGAUAUUAACCUGCUAAAAUGCAUAGUAUCUGAUACUCAGGACAGGCUCUGUGUUUAAAAAAAAAAAUAUGAAGCUCGUCUGCAACUCAUUGCCCUCAGUUCCUUUGUGUCCUGGUACACAAACAAGUUCAACCCUGUUCUUUGUAGCCAUAAUAUGAUGACGACAUUCCAAUGCAAGCUUUGAAAUAAAGCAGGAGCUAUAAAGUGCUUUUAUGCAACAUGACUAUUUAAUAAGAUAUAAAUAUGUUUAUUAAUAUAUCCCCUAUCAAGAUUGAUUUUAAUGUAUGCAAAGUAUUAAUAUAUGAAACUUUUUUUUUGCAAAUUGUUUAUUUUCUAAUGAAAAGUCAUUUUUUAUUAUAAUUCAUUUUUAAUGAAUUUUGGAAUAUGAUAUCUCCUUAUCAAAAUUAUGUAGUGUAUCAUAUUUUAU